AGAGUUUGAUCCUGGCUCAGAACGAACGCUGGCGGCAGGCCUAACACAUGCAAGUCGAGCGAGGACUUCGGUCCUAGCGGCGGACGGGUGAGUAACGCGUGGGAACGUGCCCUUUGCUACGGAAUAGCCCCGGGAAACUGGGAGUAAUACCGUAUGUGCCCUUCGGGGGAAAGAUUUAUCGGCAAAGGAUCGGCCCGCGUUGGAUUAGGUAGUUGGUGGGGUAAUGGCCUACAAGCCGACGAUCCAUAGCUGGUUUGAGAGGAUGAUCAGCCACACUGGGACUGAGACACGGCCCAGACUCCUACGGGACGCAGCAG
rnacentral:rRNA from 1 species